CUUGGAGAAGAGGAGGAGGCUGAAAAGAAGGCAAAGAGUGAAGAUAGAGAAACAAGAUGGAAGUGGGGGAGAAAAACAGGGAUGAGAGAAUGCCAUGGUGGUGCUGAGAAGGAAAGGAGAGACUUUUCUGCUUGUAAAGGGCAGAAGAUGGCAGAAUCCAGUGACGCAGGGGCAUCUGGCUCCAGAAAUAAUAGGUCACUUGGCACCCACUUCUUCAAAACGACAAAGAAACAGUACAAGAAGGAAUCUCAGAACAUCAAGAAGGAAGAAAGAACACAGUAAACAAAAAUAUGGGGAUGGAGGCACAAAAUACCAGGAAGGAAACAGAUUCUGCCAGUUACAGAGUAUUGACAACACUCUGUCACUCCGAAAAGGCAGACUCAACUCCAGAAAAGGAAUAGGGAGGCCCAAGAAGAACGAAAGACAGGGGAAUAACAGGCACUCACUCUCUCUCCUGCUGCCCUGUGAAGAGGUGCUGUCUACCAUGAUUGUAAGUUUCCUGAGGCUUCCUCAGCCAUGC
rnacentral:lncRNA from 1 species